GAUUAUGGCUCAGGAUGAACGCUGGCGGCGUGCCUAACACAUGCAAGUCGAACGGAAACUAAGCGCUUCGGAGACUUCGGUCAAUGUUUGCUUGGUUUAGUGGCGGACGGGUGAGUAACGCGUGGAUAACCUGCCUCAUACAGGGGAUAACAGUUAGAAAUGACUGCUAAUACCGCAUAAGCGCACGGGAUCGCAUGGUCUUGUGUGAAAAAACUCCGGUGGUAUGAGAUGGAUCCGCGUCUGAUUAGCUAGUUGGCGGGGUAACAGCCCACCAAGGCGACGAUCAGUAGCCGGCCUGAGAGGGUGAACGGCCACAUUGGGACUGAGACACGGCCCAAACUCCUACGGGAGGCAGCAGUGGGGGAUAUUGCACAAUGGGGGAAACCCUGAUGCAGCCGACGCCGCGUGAGUGAAGAAGUAUUUCGGUAUGUAAAGCUCUAUCAGCAGGGAAGAUAAUGACGGUACCUGACUAAGAAGCACCGGCUAAAUACGUGCCAGCAGCGGC
rnacentral:rRNA from 1 species